CCCUUAGAUGUUCUGGGCCGCACGCGCGCUACACUGACGAAUGCAACGAGCUUAUAACCUUGGCCGAAAGGUCUGGGUAAUCUCCAAAUUUCGUCGUGAUGGGGAUAGAUUAUUGCAAUUAUUAAUCUUCAACGAGGAAUGCCUAGUAAGCGCAAGUCAUCAGCUUGCGUUGAUUACGUCCCUGCCCUUUGUACACACCGCCCGUCGCUCCUACCGAUUGAAUGGUCCGGUGCAGCGUUCGGACCGUGGCCUUUGGACGGUUCGCCGUCUGUUGGCUGCGGGAAGUUCGUUAAACCUUAUCAUUUAGAGGAAGGAGAAGUCGUAACA
rnacentral:rRNA from 1 species